rnacentral:rRNA from 1 species
UAUGCGCCUUGCCAGCCCGCUCAGGUGUGCCAGCAGCCGCGGUAAUACGUAGGUGGCAAGCGUUGUCCGGAUUUACUGGGUGUAAAGGGCGUGUAGCCGGGUUGACAAGUCAGAUGUGAAAUCCUGCGGCUUAACCGCAGAACUGCAUUUGAAACUGUUGAUCUUGAGUACUGGAGAGGCAGACGGAAUUCCUAGUGUAGCGGUGAAAUGCGUAGAUAUUAGGAGGAACACCAGUGGCGAAGGCGGUCUGCUGGACAGCAACUGACGGUGAGGCGCGAAAGCGUGGGGAGCAAACAGG